UACGUAGGGGGCAAGCGUUGUCCGGAUUUAUUGGGCGUAAAGAGCGUGUAGGCGGCCAAGUAAGUCUGCUGUGAAAACUCGAGGCUUAACCUCGAGCUGUCGGCGGAAACUAUUUGGCUAGAGUCCGGAAGAGGAGAAUGGAAUUCCCGGUGUAGCGGUGAAAUGCGCAGAUAUUGGGAGGAACACCAGUGGCGAAGGCGGCUCACUGGACCGGAACUGACGCUGAGGCGCGAAAGCCAGGGGAGCGAACGGG
rnacentral:rRNA from 1 species